AGUAAGUCUUAGGACUCCCACGAGGUAGACUAACGCUGUCACAAACUUUGUCAAGGACAGUGAGCAAAGGAAGGGACGAUUGGGUCUGUCAGUGCUCGGUGUACUAUCACUGGAAGAUAAUCAUUCUGAUCCUUUCUGGCGCUUGUCUGUGACUCCUCCUCCUGUCUAAACCCCCAUAUGGUAGGGCAAAACAAAAGCAGAAACAAAAACGCAAAAUCCCUGCAGAGGGCACUGGGCAAGAAGCCCUCCUUCCUCUUGCAGAUAAAGGACCAUCUGAAAGGAUUGCUUGGGCGCCAUCUGCUGGCUAAAUGCUUGUACUGCCUUGCGGCUCCUCCACUGUGCCCCAGCCUGGGCAGGGCCACCCAGAGCGUUCAGCAAUCCUUAACCCAAGAGGCAGCGCUGUGGCUUCUACCUGGCAGGUGUUCAACCCACAGUGGCAUAAAUUACUCCCUCCUAUGAAUUGUCUUCACAUGAAUGUGGUACCGAUGAGAGCUGGAGACGCUAGGAACCCCACACAAUCAGGCUAGUGUCUUCUUAGAGCCAACCCUUGUUCCCACCGAUGGACUCUUCUGUCCUUGACAGCUUGCUGUGUAACCUGGUGGCCAGCCCGGCGCCCCACGGGAAAUGCUCCAUGCGCGCUUGUGGUUGGGAUAACAGACCCUAUGUGGGGUGAGGCUGUCCGGACAGGCAUGGUGGAAUUGAACAGACACAACCCGGCCAGUACAGAAACAGAAUCAGAUAAGAAUCUGACCUUUAUUCUUUUUGUUUUCUUCAUGCCAAUGACUGCAAUCCAAGUUGUGCUUUUCUUAAACCCUUCCUCUCUAAAUUGCAAGCCCCAGAUGGCAGAGAUCAUGUCUGUCUACUUCCCAUGCUGUGUCCAUUCAUGAAAUCAUUUUUGAAUGAAAUGGUAGACUAAUAAAUAAAGCUCUACUCGGCUUGUCUUCUGGUGAUGACUGGCUGCCCUGAGCUACUCGUGCUAUCCCUGAGAACACCAUGAUUCUGCUCAUGGACACCGUCACCACCCCUGCCAUCUAGAUUCUGUAGAGCUGCCUCUCUGUGCACCCACCUCCUGUCUAGUUACCAUCAGAGUUACUGAUCUCUUACAUGCAAACAUCAGGUCUUUCCUCUCCCUUUGUCCCCUGCAAAAAUCCCACUUGCUCCCAUGGAGGGUCCGGAGUAUUUUAGGAAAUGUCUGGGCCCCUCGCCAUCAGGAUGGAGCGAGCACACCUGUGCCCAGUCAUGUGCGUGACUUCUUUUGGCCAGGGUUAUGGGAGUAAAUGGGAUAUGAGCAGAGGCUUGAAGCAUGCUCCUGGCUGUGGUAUGGCCUCAUGAGCUCUGGGACUCACACUGAGAAGAGGACACCUUCCUUCUGCCUUUCUGCUUAGGCCUGCAGUUUGUAGUUCAACCCAGGCCAGCACAUACCAGGUAUGAUCAAACUAUAUGCUUUCUUUUUUAGUGCAUUAUAGUGAAAGACUAAUAUCACCACUAAUCUCCCUUAAAACAUUUCUCAUUUCUUCAAAUUCACUUAUCCCAUCAUUCUUACCACUUCUUGAAGCUGUUCUAAAAGACCCUCUUUUGCCUUUUUAGAAAAGGUGAUCAAAAAUAACAAUGAACACCGUGGCUGAGAGUCUUCCAACAGAAACACAGGCUCCUGAAAGCAGCACAGUGGGUCCUCAUCUGCCUGAUUCAUCACAUCUAGUAUAUUGCAACUUCUGGCUCUUCCCCAAAAUCAAACUUUCCAUAAAAGAGCCUUGUAUGAUUGAAACCCUGCCAGCCACUCCAGCUUCCUCAUGUGCCUCUUCCUCAGCCAUGUGUACAGAUAAGAGUAACCAUGUACAUGACCCCAAAACAAGAGAAAAAUCAACAGUAAUUGUUACAUAUAUUAAAGGUCAAUGUGAAAUGUAA